AGUUUCCCUGCACAAGCUCUCUCUUUGACUGCCACCAUCCAUGUAAGAUGUGACUUGCUCUUCCUUGCCUCCUGCCCUGAUUGUGACGCCUCCCCAGCCAUGUGGAACUCAGAGGAAGCUCCGUUUAGAAAUAGCUCCUUGGUCACAUGCUGGACAAACAUGGAACAGCCUAUGGAACAGAACAAUCAUAUCUCUAUAUAAUGUGCAUUGGUUUCUUUGACUUGCCUGGUGUUGUGAGGAGGGGUCCUCCUUCAGAUUUUCAUCCAGGUCCACGCCAACUCUGUUAAACAAAACCAAAAACUGGUCAAUCCCCUGCUGCAGAAGGAA
ensembl:lncRNA SLC9A9-AS2 SLC9A9 antisense RNA 2